CAGCGUGCUCCGGGCGUCGGCC
rnacentral:sRNA from 1 species